rnacentral:rRNA from 1 species
CUACGGGCGGCAGCAGUGGGGAAUAUUGCACAAUGGGCGCAAGCCUGAUGCAGCCAUGCCGCGUGUAUGAAGAAGGCCUUCGGGUUGUAAAGUACUUUCAGCGGGGAGGAAGGGAGUAAAGUUAAUACCUUUGCUCAUUGACGUUACCCGCCGAAGAAGCACCGGCUAACUCCGUGCCAGCAGCCGCGGUAAUACGGAGGGUGCAAGCGUUAAUCGGAAUUACUGGGCGUAAAGCGCACGCAGGCGGGUUGUUAAGUCAGAUGUGAAAUCCCCGGGCUCACCCUGGGAACUGCAUCUGAUACUGGCAAGCUUGAGUCUGGUAGAGGGGGGUAGAAUUCCAGGUGUAGCGGUGAAAUGCGUAGAGAUCUGGAGGAAUACCGGUGGCGAAGGCGGCCCCCUGGACGAAGACUGACGCCCAGGUGCGAAAGCGUGGGGAGCAAACAGGAUUAGAUACCCGAGUAGUC